rnacentral:rRNA from 1 species
AUCUACGGCCAUACCACCCUGAACAUGCCCGAUCACGUCUGAUCUCGGAAGCUAAGCAGGGUCGGGCCUGGUUAGUACUUGGAUGGAAGAAUAAAUGGGCCAACCAGGAAAUUAAAGAAG